rnacentral:rRNA from 1 species
UACAGAGGGCUCAAGCGUUGUUCGGAUUCAUUGGGCGUAAAGGGUGCGUAGGUGGUGGGGUAAGUCGGAUGUGAAAUCCCGGGGCUCAACCCCGGAACUGCAUUCGAUACUGCCUUGCUCGAGUACUGGAGAGGAGACUGGAAUUUACGGUGUAGCAGUGAAAUGCGUAGAUAUCGUAAGGAAGACCAGUGGCGAAGGCGGGUCUCUGGACAGUUCCUGACGCUGAGGCACGAAGGCCAGGGGAGCAAACGGG